GUGAAUCAUCAAAUUUUUGAACGCAAAUUGCGCCUUUUUCGGAAGGCAUGUCUGUGUGAGGUCACCAUUUAGCAAAUAAUGUGCAGCGUGUUUGGUUUCACACGUUGAUGAGCUUUCCAAGAAUUUUAAAUUUUUGGUGGCGCAUAAUGAACAGCGUGAAAGUUUUUUUCAGUUCGAGUGUAGUAAAAUCUUUUCUUGGGUGGUGAAAAAACAUAAUCGCGUAAUGGGUGGGUCAAUUUCGUUGUAUCCCUGCACCAAUGCCAAUCUUUCUCACGAAAGGAUGUCUAAUCUUCAGGG
rnacentral:misc_RNA from 1 species